rnacentral:antisense_RNA from 1 species
CUUCAGCGAGCCCAGCCACAGCGGCCGUCCCUCCGGCCGGUCCUGCCCGUACGUGGCCAGCAGCGCCUGUGCCUC